rnacentral:lncRNA from 10 species
GGAGAGGCUGAAGGCUGAGUUGAUCACCCGUGGCCAAUGAUUUAAUCAGUCAUGGCUAGCUGUCCAAACAACUAGUGGCCACCAGGGCACCCGCAGUCUCCUCCCUUGUGUCCCUGAAGCUCAUCAAGAGUUGCUCAACAGCCCGCAGAACCACGUGCCUGUCUCAUUGUCCUUAUCUUCCCAUUUCAAGGUUUGAACCAACCCUUGAGUACAGUCCUUACCGAGUCAGCCCUGAGUGCCUUAGGGAAAGAAGUGAGACCGGGCAUAUCCCCUGGGAGGGGAAACAUGUUGCAGCACAUCAUGACAAAAAUAUCAAGACAGAAGUUUAUAAAAUGUGCUAGGAAAAUCGAAGGAAGAGGGUGGGGGUGGGAAAACUUCAGAGAAGCAGCGACAACUUGUGCUGGACCUGAAGGAUGAAUAAGAGCUGCCAGAGGGGACGGGCGCGGUGGCUCACAUCUGUAAUCUCAGCAUUAUGGGAGGCUGAGGUGGGAGGAAUGCUUGAGCCCAGCAGGUUGAGACUGCAGUGAGCCACGACUGAGCUACUGUACUCCAUCCUGGCCAAAAGAGAGAGCCCUGUGUCAUAAAUAAAUGAAUAAAUAAAUAAAUUUUUAAAAAAAUGUUUGCCAGAG